UACGGAGGGUGCAAGCAUUGAUCGGAUUUAUUGGGCGUAAAGGGCGCGUAGGCGGGGAUGUAAGUCAGAUGUGAAAUCCCGAGGCUCAACCUCGGAACUGCAUUUGAAACUACAUCUCUUGAGGAUAGGAGGAGAAAACGGAAUUCCACAAGUAGCGGUGAAAUGCGUAGAUAUGUGAAAGAACAUCUGUGGCGAAGGCGGUUUUCUAUCUUACUCCUGACGCUGAGGCGCGAAAGCAAGGGGAUCAAACAGG
rnacentral:rRNA from 1 species